AAGAUUUUAAGUUAAGCAAACUAAUAGCCUUCAAAGCUAUAAAUAUGAGAUUUAUCUUUUAAAUCUUA
rnacentral:tRNA from 1 species